UACGUAGGGGGCGAGCGUUGCCCGGAUUUAUUGGGCGUAAAGAGCGUGUAGGGGGCCGAGCAGGUCAGUUGUGAAAACUGAAGGCUCAACCUUCAGAGGUCGAUGGAAACCGUUCGGCUAGAGUCCGGAAGAGGAGAGUGGAAUUCCUGGUGUAGCGGUGAAAUGCGCAGAUAUCAGGAAGAACACCCGUGGCGAAAGCGGCUCUCUGGGACGGUACUGACGCUGAGACGCGAAAGCGUGGGGAGCGAACAGG
rnacentral:rRNA from 1 species